CCUACGGGCGGCAGCAGUGAGGAAUAUUGGUCAAUGGACGAGAGUCUGAACCAGCCAAGUCGCGUGAAGGAUGACUGCCCUCUGGGUUGUAAACUUCUUUUAUAUGGGAAUAAAACCUUUCACGUGUGAGCUUCUGUAUUUACCUUAUGAAUAAGGAUCGGCUAACUCCGUGCCAGCAGCCGCGGUACUACGGAGGAUCCGAGCGUUAUCCGGAUUUAUUGGGUUUAAAGGGAGCGUAGGUGGGUUGUUAAGUCAGUUGUGAAAUUUCGGGGCUCAACCGUAAAAUUGCAGUUGAAACUGGCAGGCUUGAGUAGAGUAGAGGGGGGCGGAAUUCGAGGUGUAGCGGUGAAAUGCUUAGAUAUCACGAAGAACUCCGAUUGAGAAGGCAGUACACUGGAC
rnacentral:rRNA from 1 species